rnacentral:rRNA from 1 species
CCCUUAGAUGUUCUGGGCCGCACGCGCGCUACACUGAUGCAUUCAACGAGCCUAUCCUUGACCGACAGGUCCGGGUAAUCUUUGAAUCUGCAUCGUGACGGGGAUAGAUUAUUGCAAUUAUUAAUCUUCAACGAGGAAUGCCUAGUAAGCGCGAGUCAUAAGCUCGCGUUGAUUACGUCCCUGCCCUUUGUACACACCGCCCGUCGCUACUACCGAUUGAACGGUUUAGUGAGGGCCUCGGAUUGGUCUCGGCCCGCUCUUUACCGGGCGGCGCCGUUGGUCGAGAAGACGCUCGAACUUGAUCGUUUAGAGGAAGUAAAAGUCGUAACA